AAACACCCGGUCCCAUCCCGAACCCGGAAGUUAAGCACUGCUGCGGCAAUGGUACUGCGUCUCAAGGCGUGGGAGAGUAG
rnacentral:rRNA from 1 species